rnacentral:rRNA from 1 species
GGGGGGGGGGGGGGGGGGGGGGGGGGGGGGGGGGGCGGGGGGGGGGGCGGGGGGCUUGCUCCUCUGACGUUAGCGGCGGACGGGUGGGUAACACGUGGAUAACCUACCUAUAAGACUGGGAUAACUUCGGGAAACCGGAGCUAAUACCGGAUAAUAUAUUGAACCGCAUGGUUCAAUAGUGAAAGACGGUUUUGCUGUCCCUUAUAGAUGGAUCCGCGCCGCAUUAGCUAGUUGGUAAGGUAACGGCUUACCAAGGCAACGAUGCGUAGCCGACCUGAGAGGGUGAUCGGCCACACGGGAACUGAGACACGGUCCAGACUCCUACGGGAGGCAGCAGUAGGGAAUCUUCCGCAAUGGGCGAAAGCCUGACGGAGCAACGCCGCGUGAGUGAUGAAGGUCUUCGGAUCGUAAAACUCUGUUAUUAGGGAAGAACAAAUGUGUAAGUAACUAUGCACGUCUUGACGGUACCUAAUCAGAAAGCCACGGCUAACUACGUG